AGCGAACGCUGGCGGCAGGCCUAACACAUGCAAGUCGAACGAACCCUUCGGGGUUAGUGGCGGACGGGUGAGUAACACGUGGGAACGUGCCUUUAGGUUCGGAAUAACUCAGGGAAACUUGUGCUAAUACCGAAUGUGCCCUUCGGGGGAAAGAUUUAUCGCCUUUAGAGCGGCCCGCGUCUGAUUAGCUAGUUGGUGAGGUAAAGGCUCACCAAGGCUACGAUCAGUAGCUGGUCUGAGAGGAUGACCAGCCACAUUGGGACUGAGACACGGCCCAAACUCCUACGGGAGGCAGCAGUGGGGAAUCUUGCGCAAUGGGCGAAAGCCUGACGCAGCCAUGCCGCGUGGAUGAUGAAGGUCUUAGGAUUGUAAAAUCCUUUCACCGGUGAAGAUAAUGACUGUAGCCGGAGAAGAAGCCCCGGCUAACUUCGCGCCAGCCGCCGCGGUAAGAC
rnacentral:rRNA from 1 species